UAGUGGCAGACGGCUGAGUAAUACAUUGGUACCCACCCUAAAGUGGGGGAUAGCUCAUUGAAAAAUGGGGAAAUCCCGCAUGUGCUCUACGGAGUAAAGCUUCGGCGCUUUAGGAGGGGCCUUUGUCCUAUCAGUUUGUUGGUGAGGUAAUGGCUUACCAAGACGAUGACGGGUAGCUGGAUCGAGAGGUCGACCAGCCAGACUGGGACUGAGACACGGCCCAGACUCCUACGGGAGGCAGCAGUGAGGAAUUUUCCGCAAUGGGCGAAAGCUGCACGGAGCGACACCGCGUGAAGGAUGACGGUUUUAGGACUGUAAACUUCUUUUAUAUGCGAAGAUUAUGACGGUAGCAUAUGAAUAAGGACCGGCUAACUACGUGCCAGCAGCCGCGGUAAUACGUAGGGUCCAAGCGUUAUUCGGAUUUACUGGGCGUAAAGCGUGCGUAGGCGGCUAUAUAAGUUAGAUGUUAAAUCUGCGGGCUCAACUCGUAGGCUGCAUCUAAUACUGUAUAGCUAGAGAAUGGAAGAGGCAGAUGGAAUUUCUGGUGGAGCGGUUAUAUGCGUAGAUAUCAGAAGGAACACCAAUGGCGAAGGCAGUCUGCUGGGCCAUUUCUGACGCUAAGGCACGAAAGCGUGGGGAGCGAUCGGGAUUAGAUACCCCGGUAGUCCACGCCGUAAACGAUGGAUACUAGCUUUUUGGGGUAUCGACCCCUUGAGAAGCGAAACUAACGCGUUAAGUAUCCCGCCUGGGGAGUACGGUCGCAAGACUAAAACUCAAAGGAAUUGACGGGGACCCGCACAAGCGGUGGAACAUGUGGUUUAAUUCGAAGCUAAGCGAAAAACCUCACCAAGGUUUGACAUACCAAUCGUAUCUCUAAGAAACUAGAGAGUCAGUUAGGCUGGAUUGGAUACAGGUGUUGCAUGGUCGUCGUCAGCUCGUGUCGUGAGAUGUCGGGUUAAGUCCUUUAACGAGCGCAACCCUCAUCGUAUGUUAUUUUUCAUGCGAGACUGCCCUGGUUAACGGGGAGGAAGGUGGGGAUGACGUCAGAUCAGCAUGGCCCUUACGCCUUGGGCUACACACGUGUUACAAUGGCUAGAACAAUAGGUUGCAAUACCGCAAGGUGGAGCUAAUCCUCAAAUCUAGUCUCAGUUCGGAUAGUGGGCUGAAACUCGCCCACUUGAAGUCGGAAUCGCUAGUAACCGUAAAUCAGCACGUUACGGUGAAUACGUUCCCGGGUCUUGUACACACCGCCCGUCACACCACGAAAGGCAGAGACACCCGAUACCGCGUAGCGGUUUAAGGUGGAGCUGCUGAUUGGGGUGAAGUCGUAACAAGGUAGCCG
rnacentral:rRNA from 1 species